CUAAGGAGCACUUCUACACAAUCCUUCGAAGAGUCGAAUGUGGUUGUGUCAGAGACCGUUUGUGUCCCCGUCAGUGGGACCGCGGAAGCUCAUGGGUGGAACGCUGACAGAUUCUCCGCAGUCGAGGCGGUCUGAUGGCCGGCUCGCGGGGAUAUAUCGACACACUGUUGGGUCCUGAAAAAACAGACGUUCUUUCCAGGCAAAAAAUAGACUUGCUCGGAUUUUCUGAGAUACUGCUGGUUUUGCUGGUAAGUCCUGAUGUCCAAUCCGGGUGGGUGUGUUGUUUGAGAACUGCACAGUGGACGCGAGCAUCUUUGUUUGUAAGUGUGUAAGGGCGUAC
rnacentral:misc_RNA from 1 species